rnacentral:rRNA from 1 species
CCAGUUGAUCCUGCUGGAGGAUACUGCUAUCGGAUUGCGCCUAAGCCAUGCAAGUUUUGUGACUCGGCAUGAGUCACGGCGGAUGGCUCAGUAACACGUAGUCAACCUACCUUAAGGACGGGGAUACCCUCGGGAAACUGAGGUGAAACCCCGAUGGGCCAGGAAAUCUGGAAUGAUUCCUGGUUAAAACAGCGCGCGAAACGCAGCGUUGCUGCCUUAAGAUGGGACUGCGGCCGAUCAGGCUGUUGGUGAGGUAACGGCUCACCAAACCUAUAAUCGGUAGGGGCUAUGGGAGUAGGAGCCCCGAGACGGGCACUGAGACAAGGGCCCGAGCCCUACGGGGUGCAGCAGGCGCGAAACUUCCGCAAUGCGCGAAAGCGUGACGGGGGUAGUCCGAGUGCCGUCCUAACGGACGGCUUUUAGCGAGCUCGACACGCUCGUUGAAUAAGUGGUGGGUAAAUCCUGUGCCAGCCGCCGCGGUAACACAGGUAGCACAAGUGGUAUCCACGAAUAUUGAGCUUAAAGCGUCCGUAGCCGGCUCGUAAAGUUUCCUGUGAAAUCUUCAGGCUUAACCUGAAGGCGUGCAGGAAAUACUAACGGGCUCGGGAGUGGAGGAGGCAUGGGGUACUGUAGGGGGAGGAGUAAAAUCCUGUAAUCCUUGCAGGACCGCCAGUGGCGAAGGCGCCAUGCCAAGACACGUCCGACGGUGAGGGACGAAGGCUAGGGGAGCAAAUCGGAUUAGAUACCCGAGUAGUCCUAGCAGUAAAUGAUGCAGACUUGGCGUCGCAUCCGCUUCGUGCGGAUGCGGUGCCGUAGGGAAACCGUUAAGUCUGCCGCUUGGGGAGUACGGUCGCAAGACUGAAACUUAAAGGAAUUGGCGGGGGAGCACCACAAGGGGUGGAUGCUGCGGUUCAAUUGGACUCAACGCCGGGAAGCUCACCAGGAAAGACGGCAGAAUGAAGCUCAGACUGAAGAUCUUAGCCGACAAGCCGAGAAGUGUUGCAUGGCCAGCGUCAGUUAGUGCCGUGAGGUGUCAGGUUAAGUCCUGCAACGAACGAGAUCUCCGCCCACAGUUGCUAACUCAGAAUAAAUUUUGGGUGCACUCUGUGGGGACUGCCUGCGUUAAGUGGGAGGAAGGUGGAGGCGACGCUAGGUCUGUAUGGCCUGAAUCAGCUGGGCCACACGUGGCAUACAAAGGCAGGGACAAUGUGUUCCGACGCCGAAAGGCGAAGGCAAUCACCUAAACCCUGUCUCAGUCCAGAUUGGGGGCUGAAACUCG